CCUACGGGUGACAGCAGUGAGGAAUAUUGGUCAAUGGUCGAGAGCCUGAACCAGCCAAGCCGCGUGAAGGAUGAAUGCUCUGUGGAUUGUAAACUUCUUUUGUCAGGGAAUAAAAAGUGGCACGAGUCCCCGUAUGCAUGUACCUUAAGAACAAGGAUCGGCUAACUCCGUGCCAGCAGCCGCGGUAAUACGGCGGAUGCGAGCGUUAUCCGGAUUUAUUGGGUUUAAAGGGAGCGCAGGCGGGGUGGUAAGUCAGUUGUGAAAGUCAGGGGCUCAACCCCGGGAUUGCAGUUGAAACUGGCAUUCUUGAGGAGGGGAGAGGUAGGCGGAAUUCGUGGUGUAGCGGUGAAAUGCGUAGAUAUCACGAAGAACUCCGAUUGCGAAGGCAGCCUGCUGGACCGAAACUGACGCUGAGGCACGAAAGCGUGGGUAUCAAACAGGAUUAGAUACCCCUGUAGUC
rnacentral:rRNA from 1 species